ACAGACUCAUCGCUCGUGACUCUGACACCACUGAGACCAACGCUCCCUCUCCCGGACUGACAGGCCAAUCGCAGGACACCCCUCACUCUCUCAGUCGCUCUCUCUCUCUCUCUCUCUCUCUCUCUGAUUCUCUCUCUCGCAUUCAUUCCUUUGCUCGCCAUCUCUCUCUCUGUCUUUAGCUAAGUCUCUCUACCACACCUCGUCCAGUGCAGAGGAACAGAAAGCCCCCUGCCCAGCCCAGGGAUAGCCAGACCGCUGAGAGGAUGAAACUCUGACAAGCAGACAGACCGCAGGGAAACGAGCACAACAGCCCACAGAUAAUUGGUUGAAGGGAGAGUCCAGGAAGGUCAGCCAAGAAAGCAGCCGUAGGUGCCAGCGUGAAAUCUACAGCAACUACAAUCACUUCAACAGUGAGCGGCUGGAACAAGGUGAAUGACAGACGCUGCUUCCCACAGAGUGAUGCUGAGACUGGCUUAGGCUUGCAGCACCACUGAAGACUUACACGGCACUAGGCAAUGACUAUUAGCCCCAAGACCAGCGAACAGUGAUCUACUGACCUCUGAGACAGGUUGUAUCUGACAGAGAGAGGACCACCUCCACGCUCCAGCCCCGCUCCAACCCACUGGUUUGUUAGUAUCAACAGUGAGUGAAUCACCCAGCUUUGGCCCGUCCGGCGUUACCUGUACAUGGAGACCCCCAGCUGGGCAGGAAACACGUUGUGUAAAUCAGGAAGUAUUGCUGUCUUCGGGAACGUGGUGUACAGCGGGCUGCUCAACGAGCACCUCUGGCAUUUAGGAGUUCCCCUCUUCACGA